GAUGAAGAACGCAGCGAAAUGCGAUAAGUAGUGUGAAUUGCAGAAUUCAGUGAAUCAUCGAAUCUUUGAACGCACAUUGCGCCCCUUGGUAUUCCAUGGGGCAUGCCAGUUCGAGCGUCAUUUGUACCCUCAAGCUUUGCUUGGUGUUGGGUGUUUGUCCCGCGUUGCGCGUGGACUCGCCUUAAAGCGAUUGGCAGCCGGCAUAUUGGCCUUGGAGCGCAGCACAUUUUGCGCUUCUAGUCAUGAAUGUUGGCGUCCAUUAAGCCUAUACAUUUGCUCUUGACCUCGGAUCAGGUAGGGAUACCCGCUGAACUUAAGCAUAUCAAUAAGCGGAGGA
rnacentral:misc_RNA from 1 species